rnacentral:rRNA from 1 species
AGGGCACCACCAGGAGUGGAGCCUGGGGCUUAAUUUGACUCAACACGGGAAAACUCACCCGGGCCGGACACUGGAAGGAUUGACAGAUUGAGAGCUCUUUCUUGAUUCAGUGGGUGGGGGGGCAUGGGCGUUCUUAGUUGGGGGAGAGAUUUGUCUGGGUAAUUCUGAUAACGAACGAGACUCUAGCCUACUAAAUAGAUCGUCGGCUUACAAACGCCGGCGAGACUUCUUAGAGGGACAGGCGGCGAUUCAACCGCACGAAACAGAGCAAUAACAGGUCUGUGAUGCCCUUAGAUGUCCGGGGCCGCACGCGCGCUACACUGAAGUGAUCAGCGUGCAUUUUCAACCUACUCUGUCAAGAGUGGGGAACCCAAUGAACCUUCUUCGUGAUUGGGAUAGGGGAUUGUAAUUAUUCCCCUUGAACGAGGAAUUCCCAGUAAGCGCGAGUCAUAAGCUCGCGUUGAUUACGUCUCUGCCCUUUGUACUCACCGCCCGUCGCUACUACCGAUUGAAUGUUUU